AUUGAACGCUAGCGGGAUGCCUUACACAUGCAAGUCGAACGGAGUGGCGAACGGGUGAGUAAUGUAUCGGAACGUGCCCAGUAGCGGGGGAUAACUACGCGAAAGCGUAGCUAAUACCGCAUGCUAGUUGAGCGCCCGAUAACGGGUUAGCUAGUUGGUGGGGUAACGGCUCACCAAGGCGACGAUCCGUAGCUGGUUUGAGAGGACGACCAGCCACACUGGGACUGAGACACGGCCCAGACUCCUACGGGAGGCAGCAGUGGGGAAUUGUGGGAAAUGGGCGAAACCCUGAUCCAGCAAUCCCGCGUGUGCGAUGAAGGCCUUCGGGUGGUAAAGCACUUUUGGCAGGAAAGCGGUACCUGAAGAAUAAGCAACGGCUAACUACGUGCCAGCAGCCGCGGUAAUUC
rnacentral:rRNA from 1 species